UGCUCUCAACUUGCCUCACACUCCCCCCCCCUCUCUCGUCUGUACCCCCCUCAGACCUCAGCGUGCGGAUAUGAGCACUAAAUCUCUGCUGUACCACUUGUUCCUCUCUAUCAUCUCUCUGUUAUCAAUGCACCCUCAUCCGCUCUCCCCUCGUUCUCUCUCCCUCUCUCUACUGCAGCACCCACACACUCUGCAGCAACAAACAGCCAGCUUAAAGAGACAGAGACCCCCUCACAAUCCUAGCUUCUCUUUCCCCCCGUCUCGUCGCUCUCCAGCAACAGGAGCCUUUUUCCUUUCCGAUUCCUCAGUGAUGGACUGUUCAAACUCCGUUCAGUAGCGGACACCAGGGUGGGAUCUCCAUACAGAAGGGGAGAAACGUCACAGACCACUGCAGAGGGAGUUAUUGACGCUGCCUCCUCCCUUCUCCCUCUCCUCGGUGUGACACCCUACAGCACUGGUAGAGGAGAAGUGAAGCAUCCGUCCUGUCUAACCCCUCAACGGUGACAUAUCUUGCCAGGAAGAAAGCAUCACCUCAAAUGAGUGUGCAUGGGUGCUGGUGCAAUUUCAGGCUGUGGUCCUGUUCCAGUGGACUGCAGAGUGGAAAGGAUUCUGUCCAGAGCCUGCGGAGGACAGAUGAGACAUCAUCACGAGAUGCUACAUGAGUCUGCCAACAAGCCAGUGGAGAAAGAGCAGAAGUCCUGGAGUCGAGUCUGCAUUUCCAGCAACACACUGCACAUACAGAAGGGAC